GCCUGAUGCAGCAACGCCGCGUGAGGGAUGACGGCCUUCGGGUUGUAAACCUCUUUUAGCAGGGAAGAAGCGAAAGUGACGGUACCUGCAGAAAAAGCGCCGGCUAACUACGUGCCAGCAGCCGCGGUAAUACGUAGGGCGCAAGCGUUAUCCGGAAUUAUUGGGCGUAAAGAGCUCGUAGGCGGUUUGUCGCGUCUGCUGUGAAAUCCCGAGGCUCAACCUCGGGCCUGCAGUGGGUACGGGCAGACUAGAGUGCGGUAGGGGAGAUUGGAAUUCCUGGUGUAGCGGUGGAAUGCGCAGAUAUCAGGAGGAACACCGAUGGCGAAGGCAGAUCUCUGGGCCGUAACUGACGCUGAGGAGCGAAAGGGUGGGGAGCAAACAGGCUUAGAUACCCUGGUAGUCCACCCCGUAAACGUUGGGAACUAGUUGUGGGGACCAUUCCACGGUUUCCGUGACGCAGCUAACGCAUUAAGUUCCCCGCCUGGGGAGUACGGCCGCAAGGCUAAAACUCAAAGGAAUUGACGGGGACCCGCACAAGCGGCGGAGCAUGCGGAUUAAUUCGAUGCAACGCGAAGAACCUUACCAAGGCUUGACAUAUACGAGAACGGGCCAGAAAUGGUCAACUCUUUGGA
rnacentral:rRNA from 1 species